rnacentral:rRNA from 1 species
UACGUAGGUGGCGAGCGUUGUCCGGAUUUACUGGGCGUAAAGGGAGCGUAGGCGGACUUUUAAGUGAGAUGUGAAAUACCCGGGCUUAACUUGGGUGCUGCAUUUCAAACUGGAAGUCUAGAGUGCAGGAGAGGAGAAUGGAAUUCCUAGUGUAGCGGUGAAAUGCGUAGAGAUUAGGAAGAACACCAGUGGCGAAGGCGAUUCUCUGGACUGUAACUGACGCUGAGGCUCGAAAGCGUGGGGAGCAAACAGGAUUAGAUACCUCGGUAGU